UCAGAAUUUACUGUUAUUGCCUGGCCUC
rnacentral:piRNA from 1 species